GAUAAACAACAGAUUUUUAUUUAUUUUUGCCAUGUCUAACAGAGCCUUUGCAGCUAUAACUACCUGCAGAUUUUUCCCUGGAGACAGCAAUAAAUAAGAAGGUAAAAAAGGGCAUCUGUGGCUGCCUCACAAUCAAGAGGGCCAACUUCAAAAACAAUUCCAGGAUAUGCAAAAACGCCGCUUCGACAAACACCGUUCCUCCUCACUUAUAUACGCCACUUCCCUUCGGUUCUCUUCGGAAACGAUCGAGAAGUCUCGGGAGUCCCGCGAAGAACCAACCUUAAACAGAGGAGCCGCGGUGUGUCGACCGUUCGGCCAUCUUCGGUACAUUCAUGUGUUUUUUUUUCUCGACCAUUUCCGAAUUCCUUCGGCUAUUUCCGGUUCCUCUCGGGGAAUUCCGGCCUCGCUCGGUCUCCGGGGAAGUAGCAGCUGCCGCACCGCCACCGCCGGAGCAGUAGUUAGAAGUCUUGGCGGAAUGGAAGAGCCUCAGAGGGUGCAGGAUGUGGGCGUGCCCCGCGCCUCGAAUCUCCCUGGGGACCCCGAGCCUGAAGAGACCAUCCGAAGCCUGCAAGCCCAGUUGGCAGCCGCCUUGGCCGAAGUGGAGACAGUCCGAGCUGUGGCUGCAGUGAGUGAAGGCACCAAGCAGGAGGCGGUGGAGGCUGUCCAGCGCCGGUGCCAGGAAGAGGUGGCUUCCUUGCAGACUAUCUUGAAAGAUACCAUUUCCAGCUACGAGGCCCGUCUGUCAGCAUUCCAACGUGACAACCGGGAAAACAUUUGGAGCAGGCUGCCAAGGACCAACCCUCUGGACUCAUUGGAGAAACAGAUGGAAAAAGCACAAGAGGAUACUCAGCGACUCCGGGCCAUUGUUCUGCCGAUGGAGCAGGAAAUUGCUGAAUUGAAAGCAAAACUGGCCCAUGCUGAGAGUCUGGUUCAGGAGCUGCAGAGUGAGGAGCAUUCCUUAUGUAGUUCGGCUGAAUCCCUUCUUGCUGAACCCGAGGCUGUGUCCACGGAUUUGCCUGGAAGUCACCAGGUUCCUUUGAUGGAAGGAGGAGUAGCAGAGAAGUUUGCCUGUAGUCUGGACAGCAUCUCCAUUGCUUCAUUUUCCUCUUUGGGACCAAGUUCUGGGCCUUCUGUCCGACGCAGAUGUUCCCCAAGCCCUGAGACUUGUUCCAUUGCCUCUUCAACUGGAACCCUGGUGCCUGAGACUAUUUAUCUACCACCAGUGGGAUACCAGCUUGUAUCUGAAUCAGAGUGGGCUCAGCUCCAAGAACAGGUGCAACAGCAACGUGGAACUCUGGACGAGCGAGCCAAGGAAAAAGCUAAUCUGGAGGAGGCAUUGAGACGUAGCACUGAAGAGUGCAGUAAGCAGGUUCAGGUUCUUUUGACUCAGAUCCAGACAUCAGAGAACCUUCUCCAAAGCCUCCAAGCCACUGUGAGUGAAACCCAGCGGCGGACUCAAGAGCAGUUGGCUGAUUUGGCUGCAUCCCACAAACGCCUCAGCUACGAAGUGCAACGUCUCAAUGCCGAGAAUGAAGGUCUGCGGGGGAUGAGUGCCCAGGAUUCUCCUCCAACAGAGGGUGAAACUAGAAGUUUGCCCAGCACAGUGCCGGAGUUGCAAACCAUGGUGUCCAAGCUGAGACAAGAGUCUGCCUUACAACUUCGGGCUGCAGAGCAUCAGGCUGAGCGCCUGCGAAUUGAAAUUAUAUCCUUGCGGGAACGGCUGGAUGAAGAAACCGCAUCCCAGUCAAGCCUGAAGGGAGCUCUGGAGAGAGAGCAGGAAGAAAGAGAGCUUUUGCAAGCCUCUUUGAAUAGUAUUCAGAGUGAGAUGGAAAGGCUGCAACAAGGGCAAGAAGAGCUGAAUAGAAUUCAGGGCCUGAAUUCUCAGAGAUUUCACAAAUCUCGCAAUGUUUGAUACAAUCUCAGGGAAUUCUGGGAGUUCAAAUUCUAAUCUAUCCGGAAGUCAUCACAUUGGGAAAAAUUGCAGCCUGAUGUGAGAGAAGCCAGUACACUACCAGGGAAGCCAGAGGCUUAGACUGAGGAUAAAGAAAUUGGGCCUCUCUGUCUUCCCAUCCCUGACACUCCAGGAACCUCAGGGAAAUCAUGACUUUCCAGGCACCAAUAGGUCAACUUGCUCCUCCAGAGCCUCUUCAGGUCUUACCUCUGCAUGGAUAGGAGUACCAGAACUCUGGAGGUAGGGAUGGCUGGGUUCUUUUGUUACUCCCCGCAACCCUUGUCCGGACACUGGAGCCUCCAGAGCAUAAUAAAUAAGAUUAUUUUUGUAAUUUUCUUAGCCUUUGCCUCUCCCUUUCAAGGUUAAUUAACUAAGGUUGGGGGGGGGGGGUUUAGCACAAAAUAUUAUGACCCUGACAAAAAUGCAUAGUACAAGCAUCAAAGUGGCCUACUCAAAACAAAAGCAAUAGGAAUAGUGGCACCUCUACUUUUCAAGAUAAUAUUGCAGCUUGCAAGCAGUUUAAACAUUUAUAACAAAUGCUAUUUUGCAUCUAUGUUAUCCUACCUCUUUUAUACAAGGCAGAUGGAAAGAAUUCAGCUGAAAGGGCUUCUAUGGUGGCUGCUUUCUUCCUUUUGUCUUCUUUUCAGAGGCCCUAGUCAAACAGUUUGGCUUCACCCUUUGCACCAAAUUAUAUAUUGCUGAAUAAAUCACAAUGGUUAUAUCUCCCAUACCCCUAUGUCAAAGCCAAACGAAUGACAUUGUUUAGCCUGAUGUAUAAACACAAUUCCCAUCAAAAAGACUGUGAAAUCAACUUGUGUGAAGUCAACCUGCAACUCCUAGCUUAAGUCUGACUCAAGCUUCAGGUACUCCUAACUCUACUGUAUCCUUGAAAAUAGUCAGUGUAUCUGGGACUUCUGGGUGAUGAAAAUGGCAAAUUUGAAAGCAUGGAGACAACACUGAGGCUGGAACUCUGACUUUUCUGAGGCUGGAACUCUGACUUUCUCUGACAAGGAAAAGCCCAAGAGAUUGCCCAAUGCCCAUGUGCAAUCUGGAUUUCAGCUUGCGAGGAAGCCUGCAGAAUCAAAAAAGAAUAUGCAGGUACAUUGUAAGGAAAGGGUACCAGGGGCUAUGAAAGGAAGGGUUGCAGCUCCAGCAAAGUCUUUAUUUAAAAUGGGUGUUGGGUCCAUCUAAAUCAUCCUGAGCAACAAAGUCCACCCAGAGCAACAAAGAUGGUUAGAGGACUGGAGAAUAAAACAUUUAAAGAAUGGUUGCUGGAACUGGUAUUGUCUCAUCCAGGGGUGUCAAACUCAAAGCCCGUGGGCUUGAUCUGGCCUGCAAUAUAGUUGGAUCCGGUCCAUAGGGCUGUCCUGGUCUACCCAAUGUGAAGAGGAAAGAUCAGCCAGUGUAGCUUCAGCCCAGUCUACCUGGUGCGAAGAGGAAAGAUCAGGCC